UAGCUCAGUCAGUUAGAGCGUGGUGCUGAUAACACCAAGGCCGCGGGUUUGAUACCUGU
rnacentral:tRNA from 1 species